rnacentral:rRNA from 1 species
GACGAACGCUGGCGGCGUGCUUAACACAUGCAAGUCGAACGGUAAGGCCCUUCGGGGUACACGAGUGGCGAACGGGUGAAUAACACGUGGGUGAUCUGCCCUGCACUUCGGGAUAAGCCUGGGAAACUGGGUCUAAUACCGGAUAGGACCACUGCCUGCAUGGGUGGUGGUGGAAAGCUUUUGCGGUGUGGGAUGGGCCCGCGGCCUAUCAGCUUGGUGGUGGGGUGAUGGCCUACCAAGGCGACGACGGGUAGCCGGCCUGAGAGGGUGACCGGCCACACUGGGACUGAGAUACGGCCCAGACUCCUACGGGAGGCAGCAGUGGGGAAUAUUGCACAAUGGGCGCAAGCCUGAUGCAGCGACGCCGCGUGAGGGAUGACGGCCUUCGGGUUGUAAACCUCUUUCAGCACUGACGAAGCGCAAGUGACGGUAGGUGCAGAAGAAGGACCGGCCAACUACGUGCCAGCCGCCGCAGUAA